ACGAUAACGAACGAGACCUUAACCUGCUAAAUAGUCACCUGAACCCUGUGUUCGGGGCCGACUUCUUAGAGGGACUGUGGACGUGAAGUCCACGGAAGUUUGAGGCAAUAACAGGUCUGUGAUGCCCUUAGAUGUUCUGGGCCGCACGCGCGCUACACUGACGAACUCAGCGAGUUUAUAACCUUGGCCGGAAGGUCCGGGUAAUCUUGUGAAAGUUCGUCGUGAUGGGGAUAGUCCCUUGCAAUUAUUGGACUUCAACGAGGAAUUCCUAGUAAGUGCGAGUCAUCAGCUCGCGUUGAUUACGUCCCUGCCCUUUGUACACACCGCCCGUCGCUAAUACCGAUUGAAUGGAUA
rnacentral:rRNA from 1 species